AACGAACGCUGGCGGCAGGCCUAACACAUGCAAGUCGAACGCCCGUAGCAAUACGGGAGUGGCAGACGGGUGAGUAACGCGUGGGAACGUGCCCUUCGGUUCGGAAUAACUCAGGGAAACUUGAGCUAAUACCGGAUACGUCCGUAAGGAGAAAGAUUUAUCGCCGAAGGAUCGGCCCGCGUCGGAUUAGCUAGUUGGUGAGGU
rnacentral:rRNA from 1 species